rnacentral:rRNA from 1 species
UUUUCCUGUUUAAAUCGCAGGAAGAGGAAGGGCUGGGUAAGACGGGGGCCAGCCGCCGCGGUAAUACCUGCAGCUCAAGUGGUGACCGCUAUUAUUGGGCCUAAAACGUCCGUAGCCGGCUGAGUAAAUGCCUGGGUAAAUCGUGUCGCUUAACGCUGCGAAUUCCGGGUAGACUGCUUGGCUUGAGACCGGGAGAAGUAAGAGGUACUCCUGGGGUAGAGGUGAAAUUCUGUAAUCCUGGGGGGACCACCAGUGGCGAAAGCGUCUAGGCAGAACGGGUCUGACGGUGAGGGACGAAACCCUGGGGCGCGAACCGGAUUAGAUACCCGGGUAGUCCAGGCCGCAAACGAUCCUUGCUUGAUGUUCGCAGGGCUCCGAGCUCGGCUAGUGUCGGAGAGAAGUUGUUAAGCAAGCUGCCUG